rnacentral:rRNA from 1 species
AUGUUGAAACACCGCUUCUCGUACGAUCACCGAAGUUGAGCAACGUCGAGCCUGGUCAGUACCUAGAUGGGUGACCGCUUGGGAAUACCAGGUGGUGUAAG